rnacentral:lncRNA from 14 species
UGUAAAUAUGACACAGUGAUCCCAAACAGCAGCAGUAUCACCCCUCAUGGAUUAGGAGCAGAGGGGGAGAAGAUUGAAGUGUUGAAACUUGCUUCCUCAGGAAGGAUUUCUGCAGGUCCUCUGCUGCUACUCUGCCAUGAUGGGAGACAUCUUUUAGGGGAAUCCAUGCAUCACAAUGCAGUAUGUCAGUGUUGUGUUUGUAAAUGUUGUAAAUAUUAUGACUUUGGUAACAGUUGUUGAUGUAUGCCAAGAGAGACAAUAAAACUGGCCACAGGCAGAGCA